GGCUCAGAGCGAACGUUAGCGGCGGGCCUAACACAUGCAAGUCGAACGCGAAAGGUCUUCGGACUGAGUAGAGUGGCGCACGGGUGAGUAACACGUAGGUAAUCUACCCUUUGGCGGGGGAUAACGUUCCGAGAGGAGCGCUAAUACCGCAUAAGACCACGUGGUCUCCGGACCGAGUGGGAAAAGGUGGCCUCUUCUUGAAAGCUACCACCGAAGGAUGAGCCUGCGUCCCAUCAGCUAGUUGGUAAGGUAAUGGCUUACCAAGGCGAAGACGGGUAGCUGGUUUGAGAGAAUGAUCAGCCACACUGGCACUGGAACACGGGCCAGACUCCUACGGGAGGCAGCAGUGAGGAAUAUUGGGCAAUGGGCGAAAGCCUGACCCAGCCACGCCGCGUGAGUGAUGAAGGCCCUCGGGUCGUAAAGCUCUGUGGAGAGGGACGAAAACCCUGGUUUCAAAUAGGCUCCAGGCUUGACGGUACCUCUUUAGCAAGCACCGGCUAACUCUGUG
rnacentral:rRNA from 1 species